GUAAAAGAACUCGGCAGGCGGCUCCUUCUUCUUCAUCUCGUAAAACAUCUCGAACAGUUUUAUCCUGGUUGAUAGACAAUAAUGUUGUUCUGCCACGUACUAAGGUACUAUAUUGUGCAAAGAAGUAUGGUAAUCCAAUGGCAGAUGGGCAGAUAACUCGUGAAGGAAUCAAAUGCAAUUGCUGCCAAAAAAUUUAUGGUCUUCGUAACUUUGAAACUCAUGCUGGAAGCAAUUGUCACAGACCUUCAGCAAAUCUAUUUUUAGAGGAUGGAAGGUCUCUUCUUGAGUGCCAACUGCAGAUGAAACGUAAACAGAGUGUAAAAAACAUCAGGAAAGAACCACGUGAUGUGAAAAAGGGUAGUCGUGUUGGCACGAAUGACUAUAUAUGCUCCGUGUGUCAUUAUGGUGGUGAAUUAAUUCUAUGUGAUGAAUGCCCUUCUUCAUUUCAUCCUGAUUGUCUUGGAAUGAAGGUAUCACUUUCUUAUUGUUAUAUUCUAGUAUUCUACUUUGUGUAUUAAUCCUUAAUCAAAAAGCUAAAUAGUACUGGAUCAUGGUUAUAGAGUGAGUCAUAUCUUUUAAUAUACUUCUUCCACUGGUUUUAUUUUGCUAAUUGUUUAAACAGGAGGUUCCAGAUGGUGACUGGUUUUGCCCAUCAUGCUGUUGUAAAGUGUGUGGUCAUAGUGGAUUUGAUACAAACAGAAACCACUUUACAGAUAACAAUGUUCUAAUUUGUUGUCAGUGCGAGCAUAAGUGUAAGGAACUGUCUGAUCUUUCUCAUAUGUUCCUGCUACAUUUUUUGAUCUUUCUAGUAUGUUCCUGUAACAUUUUCGUGCUCAGAAAUAUAAAACUGUGUGCAUGUGUGUGCUUGCAUAUCUUCAUAUAUGUAUUUGUUUGCUGAUUAAGAUUGAUCCAAUGCAGAUCAUGCUCGGUGCGUUAGAAGCAAGGGUCCUGGAAAGCUGGAUAAUUAUCCUGAAGGAAAUUGGUUUUGCAACAAGAGCUGUGAGCUGGUAUUUGAAGCAUGCUUUAUUCAAAGUGCACUUUUAAUCCGUUGAGAAGUUAUAAAACACACUUGAAACACCUGUGCGAUGAGAUAAAUGCUACAUUUGAUUGGUCUUAAUUUUGCUACCUAGGAAAAUAUUUAAUGUCCGAGAAACAUGCUCAAGUAGAGGUUUUUUCAUUUUCUUUGGGUUUUAACUCUGGGGAAAUAUUGUACAUAUGCUACAUUUGAUUGGUCUUAAUUUUGCUACCUAGCAAAAUAUUUAAUGUCCGAGAAACAUUGUGAUAACAUGCUCAAGUAGAGGUUUUUUCAUUUUCUUUGGGUUUUAACUCUGGGGAAAUAUUGUAUCUGAGACAAUCUUUUUUUUUUUGCAGAUAUUUUUGGGUAUGCAUCAUCUUUUGGGAAAGCCAGUUAUAGUGGACGAUGACAACCUAACUUGGACACUGUUGAAAUAUAUAGAACCUGAUGAUUCUGGUUCUGAUAUCGUGGAUUAUGUGUCCAGUGUGGAGAAUUAUAGCAGACUUAGUGUUGCUUUGGAUGUGAUGCAUGAAUGUUUUGAACCUGCCAAAGAACCUUACACUAGGAGAGAUAUUGUAGAAGAUGUUAUCUUCAGUAGAUGGUAAGAUUCAGAUUUUCAAGAUGAGUCAGUCUGGUCUUCUGAUGUAAUCUAUUCAGCACAAUUUUAGUGGUCUACUUUUAAUUUUCAUCCUUUCGUUUCAAAUAGUUUUGAUCAUUUACUUAUAGAAAAAUAGACCAAGUGUUUGCGUUCAACUGCUGCUUAGUGGUCUACUUUUAAUUUUAAUCCUUUCGUUUCAAAUAGUUUUGAUCAUUUACUUAUAGAAAAAUAGACCAAGUGUUUGCGUUCAACUGCUGUUGUUUAUCUCCAAAAUUAGUUGAACUCUCGUGUAGACAUGUAAUAUUCUUUUAUUGUUUUUAUUAAAAAAGAUGAUUAUAAUUUUUAUUAUUUCGACUAACGACAAACACGUAAAAUCUGAAAUUGCAGGUCAGAGCUAAACCGCUUAAAUUUUCAAGGUUUUUACACUGUGCUGUUAGAAAGAAAUGACGAACUGAUUACAGUAGCGACUGUAAGGUACCACAUUGUUAUAUAUUCUCAGGACAAAUUACCAUCAUUUUUGUACUCUUGUACACUUUUACAUAAUUCUGAAAGUAAUAAAUAAAAUUCAGGACAAAUUACCAUCAGUUUUGUACUCUUGUACACUUUUCCAUAUUUCUGAAAGUAUUAAACAAAAAAUAUAUAUACUUUUCCUGUCAUCUCAAAGGGUUUAUGGAGAAAAGGUGGCAGAAAUCCCUCUUGUUGCAACACAAUUUCAGCAUCGCCGACUUGGAAUGUGUCGAAUUUUAAUGAAUGAGCUCGAAAAGGUAUGCAUCUCUUCUCCAGUCCAGCUUUGACUCUUUCUUUUCUUUUUUUCUUUUUUUUUUUUGUGGGAUGUUGGUGGUGUGUUUAAGCUGAGGGAUACCAAAGGAACAUCUCUAAAAGAGGCCCGAGCAUAUUGUUUCUGAUGCAGGGAAGGCCCGAGCAUAUUCUUUCUGAUGCAGGGAUGUCCAUGAAAGCUAUAUAAAGUAUAAAAAGAUCUUCUGUUGUAUUUUCUUGUAAAUAUUAGUUAUAGGUUACUUUUCUCAUCCAGGGCUGCAGAUUCAAGAUGUUUAGGCUAUGUAUUUAAGCGGGUUAAAUGGUCAGAUCUCCCUAUGAGGGGUUGUUAACGUACAUUUUAUUGGAUAAGAUCUUCUGAUAUUUGGAAAUGUUCGUUAGCCAAUGUCCACAAUGUCAUGGUAGUAACAGUCGUAGGGUUUCACAUUCAACUUAGCAAAAGUGAUGUUAGUAGGGCAAAUAUGUUAUGUGAACUGCAUUAGUCCAAAUAAAUUACUUAGUUUAGGGUUUCACAUUCGACUUAGCAAAAGUGAUGUUAGUAGGGCAAAUAUGUUAUGUGAACUGCAUUAGUCCAAAUAAAUUACUUAGUUGCUGUAUAGUCGGACUUAAAUGAUUGAUUUGAAGAUGCUAUUUUUGAGUUUAGUCAUACAGUCCAAAUAUACUUAUUAACUGGUUCUGCUUCUGUUUCAUUAAAUGCUAUGUUGGUAUUUUUUUCCCAGAAACUCAUGGAAUUAGGAGUUGAGAGGCUAGUUUUGCCAGCAGUUCCUGCUGUCCUAGACACAUGGACCGCUUCAUUUGGUUUCUCAGUGAUGAAAGAAUCAGAGAGAGUAAACUUCUUGGAUUACACUUUCCUUGAUUUCCAGGGUACCAUAAUGUGUCAGAAGAUCCUUCAAAAGAACCAUUCUGUGGUGUCGAGUGUAUUAACAGGUAUAUAAAAUCUUCUGUCUGUUGUGAACAAAAGAUGAAUAUCUGUUCUGCAGCUGAAAUUUAAGAACUCUUGCAGAAGCCCAACAAACUCAUUCUGACAAUACAAACAGCAAAGACAAUGUUGACUUGGAUGACAAUACUGCUGUUUCUGAGGUAUUCCAAGCAAAGCAAGUUGAGGGUUGUGCAACUGUGGACCAAGGAUCUAUGGAGUAUGUUUCCUCUCUCUUUUGCUCUGCUUUGAAAGGGUUGAAGAAGAGUCUAACCAGAGCGCUAUAAGGUUCAUAUCCACGAGGAACAGAAAUUAUAGUAACAAGAAUCAUAAUAUAAAUUUGCUUGAAACUAAUGAUAUUGUCCAGCAGACAAACUCACUCAUAUGGAAGUUAAUGAUAUGAACAAGAAGUCAAGUAGACCCAAUAAAUGCACGGUAUAACUGUCAACAGAGGAGUCAUCACCUUAAAUGUAUCUCAAACAAUUAUACUACAUUCAUACAUAUAUCAGAUUUUUGUAUAGUAUUAACUUUAUUAUCUAUUUAUGAGGUGUGGUAUCUAAAGAACAAAACAUUAGUAUGAGGUGUUAACAAAUGCUUUUUUUUCUCUAAUCUCGACUAUUUCUUUAGUUUAUUGUUAAUUGUGUGUUCUUAUAUCAUCCUUACUCUAUUUUCAAAUGUUCUUUUAUCUUUUUGGUCUAUUAUCAUGUUUGAAUUAAAGCAAAGAAAGAUAGGUCCCGUGUCUUCUUUCUAUGAAAGGUCUACUAAUUGGACAAGAGGAUUCCUAACUAAACAUUAUCAAGUUUCGGCAUCAUCUUUUGUCCUAAUGUCUGAGUGUUUUACUUAAACCCCAAAAUUAUCUCCAAAAAGUUGAAUAGAAAUAAUUCUCUCAUACUCAUCGUCUCUUGAACUUCCGUUCCUAGGUCAAGGAUUUUCUGAUCAUCUUUGAUAAGCCAGCUGAUGACAUUUCCUCAGAAAAUCAAAAUCAACGGGAGUGAUAGUUGUGGCGGUCUGUUGAGCCAGAAAUCUUGAUGUUUCAUAGCUUUGACGACUUGUUCACCUUUGGAACAAGGCCAAAGCAUGUUGCUAAUGAUAUUCAAAGACCGCAACAAUCCUGCCCAAAGGUUAGCUUCUCUUAAAUAUAACUGGAUUUGAACGACUGUUUUCCAAGCAUUAUUGGCAUAACUGGAAAUCUAAACACAGGGUUGAUCCUUUUGGAUAAUGAUUCUACUUUUUGAGCAUGUCAUACAUCAAAUUCUAACUGGUGGGAAAACUCUUAAAAUGGAGAAUUCACUUAGCUUCUAGGUUUCUCCAUUAGAUUCCCACUGUAAUUACGAUAUGUUCAAGAUAUUUGCAAGAGCGUUCAACUUAGGAAACUGUGGAGAUUUUGUGGAGUCUAAGUAAUUGAUUGUGAACAUGGACACAUCUUCAAUGCUCCUGUUGCAAAUGUUGUGGUCGUCUUCACGACACUUGUUACUCAAAUUCAUAAGUAUCGAAAGAUACCGCUAAUGUUUUGCUUGGAAUAUGCUCAAGAUA
rnacentral:lncRNA from 1 species